UUCACUCCUAAUCCUUAUAUAUGUUUUAAACGAACAUUAUUAACUUUUGAUUUUCAAACGAAACCUAUCCUCUGCCCUCUCUUUUCAACACGUUGUGCAUAACACUCUUACCGGAUAUACCAUAAGUGAGUUAUACUGGAUUAAAAUUCCAGUCCGGCGGAGCGGUAAUACGGUAAUAAAUGUCAUAUCAGCGUUUAGAUUUAAUAAUAUGAUUAUCCUUCUCUACUGUUUAAAUUGUAGUUCAUAAACGGCAUGAAUGAAUUAGCGUUAUGCAUAUCGAUAUGUUUUUAGAAAAAUAAUAUUCUCU